GUUUUGGUUGAGAAAUAUCCGGACAUGAUUUCAAGACGUGGAACUAAAGAAUAUACAUCGCCCCGUGAUCAUUUUGAUAGAUUAUUAACGUUUACUAAUACCUAAAGUUGCAUUACAAAAGUAUUUCGAAGUGUUUUGUGAAAGUUUAUCGUCAACUUUUUUUAUUUUUAAAAUUGACGUUGUGUUAUCAAACUCAGUUUUUUCCUUGAUUACACAGUCUUCAUAGAUCGAUAUCUAGGCUAUAUAUGGACCGAUUUAAUCGAAAAAAAGACCCAAAUAAAUGUUUAUGGGACAUCUAGGAAUGCCAAGAAAGAAGCUUGUCAAAGCAUCUGUAGUGGAGCAGUUAAGAGCUGGGAGUGUUCUUCUGAGUCAAUCACUAAAGGACAUCUGUUUGCUCUAGUCCAUGAUGCUGCACUUCACUGCCUUGGCCACCAAAGAACAUCAACGCCGAGCUGAGGUCUCGAAGGGUGUGGAGGUGUUGGCAGCGAGGCGUGUGUGUGUGCAGGCUGUCUCAGGGUAGACAGGGCCGCUGUCGUGGUGGGCGUGGUAGUGACCACCCUGCUCAUAACGCACCACCUGGAGUGGCUCACUCAGAUCCACC